GACUACAGCAUGACCCCUAUAAAAGGGCUAAGAUCUAGACAAACCGUGCACACAGUCUAUUCACUUCGACCGCACCGUCACUUACAACAAAACAAAAUGCUUAAAGUGGCAGUCUUCCUCGCUACCAUCGCUAUCGCAUACGCUGGUGUGAUCGCACCAAUUGUGCCAGUCGCCCACCCAGUAGUAGCUCACCCAGUGGCAGCAGUAUCCCACACCUCUGUUGUCCACCACGCCCCAAUAGUACACCAUGCCCCAAUUGUACAUCAUACUCCAAUAGUACAUCCUGCCCCAAUCGUACACGCUGCCCCCAUUGUACCAGUGGUGAAACACGUCGGUAUUGUUAAACAUGCCCCCAUAAUUGCUGUACACCAUUAAAUUACACGUUUGUAAUGUGUGCAUAAAGUAUGUUUGUUUUUAAUAAAUAAAUAUGUAUUUUUUUAUUUUGAUUGUUUAUUUUUAAAUCAGUGAAAUUAAACAUUAAUUUUACGUUUACUCAAUGUAAAUAAUUUUUUGCAUUAAAUUUUUUAGCCGACUUUUCCAAGAUUUGCUUGCUUAGUUAUAUUUCGUAAGAAAUUUUCUUUUAAACUUGGUUUUAUUUUUACUGAAGUUCUAUCUUUUUUUACGAUUUGCGUUCUAAAUUAUAUCUCUCAAUUAAUAUAGUAAAUAUACAUCAAGUAAAUUUAAAUUUUCUGAAAUAAUGCUUUUAUUACUCUCAAAUAUUUUUUUAAAUAAUUUUACAACAAAAGUCGCAUAAUAAU
rnacentral:misc_RNA from 1 species